UUAUCUUUCUUACGCGUGCUCUCUCUCUCUCUCCAAUUAAACUCCUCUCUCUCUCUCCAAUUAAACUCCUUUCAGUUUCUUCGUAACCUAUCAAAACCCUAAUUGACAGUCAUAUUCAAUCAAAAUUGGAGUUUCUCAUACCUAUCAAAACCGGUCACAUAUUCAUGUCCUUUAUGCUACUGGAUGCGAUUCUCUCAUAAGAACAAAUCAUCCCCCUUUGCACGUUUUAAUUACAGUGCUUUAUGGUGAAACAAAUAACAUCGUGAAAAAAGAUGGAAGUUACCAGUAACGAACCAGAAGAAACCCGUGUUCUAACUCCACUGAGAUUCUUACGGGGCGUGUUUUGUUUACUCGUGUUGCUUUCAACUGCAUUCGUGAUAUUAGUCUACUGCGGUUUCAUCACGGCUGUUAUCUUUAGACUUUUUAGCGUACAUUACAGCCGAAAGGCAACUGCCUUUUUCUUCGGCAGCUGGCUGGCGUUGUGGCCUCUUUUAUUUGAGAAAAUAAACAAAACGAAAGUAAUAUUUUCCGGAGAAACCGUUCCUGCGACUAGGGUCAUUCCGUUAACUCGAUAUACAACUUAAUGAGGCUAUGAAACCUUUAAGCUUCAAUACGACACAUAUACGAUCCAUUGGCGAGCAUACCACGUUGGUCAAUGAGCCCAUUUUUCCAUCUUCAUGAAUCUUGACAAAAGGAAAGUUAGUUACAUCUUCUUCAAUUACUUCAACAAUAUAGGAUGAAAUUGCGUGUUCUGUUGAUAGACACCAGUUUUUCAAAGUCACCAGUGGUGAUAAUUACCAUCACAUCUUUGACGGUUGCAUAAUAUCAUGUUGCGAUCUGGCCAUUUUCUUUUUUUGUUCUUAGGUGAACUUUGAGGAGGUUAAGAAAGAUCUUAAUCUGGUUCCAUCGGUUCCUCAAAAGUCUCUUGCUCACCAGAAAUAUGAAAAUAUGCUGAUGUGGUUAAAGCUUCUGUUAAUGAACAUAUUAAUUGAACCCUAUAUCAUUAUAGUUGAGACUUGAUUCAUUCAAUGGGUGCCAAACUCAUCUAUUUCCAAUUCCACCAGAAAGCACCAGUUUGUAUCAGCAGUUCAGCACCUUCACGGGCUUCAAGGUGCGACGGGGGAUGAAGAUGAGUCUGUGGUACAUAUCACAAACAGAAAGCAAGCGGAAGUUGCACCCAAGAGAAUAUUCUUGAAUGUUGCUAAACCAAGCUCCAAGUUUGUCAACGAGCUGAGCUGCAAUUGAGUUACUUGAGAUUGGCCUUGAAUCGAGCCGAGCAUAGACCUCAUUUAAUAAACAAGCGCGAGCUACGCUUAUGGAGCUUGACUAGGUGCCCACUUUUUUAGAAGUUUUGAUUUCACGCCUUAGUUCAUCGCUUCAUUACUUGCUUGGGUUAUAGAAAUAUAUACAAGUUUGAACAACUACUUAUUUCUGUUUGCAGAUGUGUGCUUUUUUAAAAGUUUUGCUUUCACACCUUAGUUCAUCACUUCAUGACUUGCUUGGGUUAUAGAAUUUUAAGUUUUGAAGUUGCAAUGCUCUUAUCUAGCUCCAAGCUGUUCAAGUCCCAUCAUAUUUCUAUCUAAUAUAGGGUGAUGACAUUGAGAUAACACCAGAUUGGAUAUUUAACCAGAGUUUCGCUGCAUCUAGGCCAGAUGCUGCUACAUCAAGUAGUGUGGAUGCUAGAUGAUCUCAUGGGGAUGGAAGUUAGAUUCUCAUACUUACGAGUUUUUUCGUACUUUUGGAAACAUUAGAUGGGGAAUAUUAACAUUGUUAUGGUCAGACACGACUGAUUGGGUUAUUGAGUCACUAUGUUUUUUAGCGAUGAUAAAGUGGUUUUAUGUUGCACACGCGUACAAAGGAAGAUGGAUGAUUUUUGACGAUGAUAAAGUGGGCGUAUCUAAGAAUCCUCCAAAAGACAUUGCAUACCUCUCCUUUAUUGGAUGAUUCAAAGUUGAGUAUUUUUAUCUUAUUCUAUGACUUGGAUCUUUCUUUUGUCCAAGGUCGAUUUGUAUACAGAAGAGGGAAACACAAAGAUAGUGGAGGGCUCUACUGACUCAACUAGGAUCUUAUAUUUUGUUAUGUUAAAAACGGUUGAUUGUUGAAUGAUGUUAACACAUUUGUACUAAUUUUCAAGAUUGCUUGAUUACAUUUGUACUAAUUUAUUUGGUUCAAUUCCAUCACUCAUAUAUGCUUAAUCA